GACAGAGGGGGCAAGCGUUGCUCGGAAUCACUGGGCGUAAAGGGCGCGUAGGCGGGAUGGCAAGUCGGUCGUGAAAUCCUUCGGCUCAACCGAAGAACGUCGGCCGAUACUGCCGUUCUUGAGGGAUGCAGAGGAGAUUGGAAUUCCCGGUGUAGCGGUGAAAUGUGUAGAGAUCGGGAGGAACACCGGUGGCGAAGGCGGG
rnacentral:rRNA from 1 species